UCUAGACAGCGCCGAGCUCUGCUACUGCUACAUAUCUCAUCGAUCACUAGUGCGCAAGCUCUUGGAUUAUCCAUGGUCAUAAGCAUCUUCUAGCUCGGUCGCGCGGCACGAGAGGAUGUUCCGAGCAGUGAAGCAUGCCGUCGUCUUGGCGAAGAAGAGCCGAGCUGAGCCCGCGGCCUUGUCUGCCUUCGCCAGCCACUUCUCCGCGGCUUCCACCUCGCAGAGGUUGGCCGGGAAGGUGGCCGUGAUCACCGGCGGCGCCAGCGGCCUCGGCAAGGCGACUGCCGCGGAGUUCGUCCGGAACGGCGCCAAGGUCAUCCUCGCCGACGUCCAGGACGACCUCGGCCACGCCGCCGCCGCCGAGUUCGGCCAUGACUCCGCAUGCUACACGCGCUGCGACGUGACGGACGAGGCGCAGGUCGCCGCGGCCGUGGACCUAGCCGUGGCGCGGCACGGCCGCCUCGACGUCAUGUUCAACAACGCCGGCAUCAGCGGCGCCCUCACGCCCGUGCCCCUCGGCUCCCUGGACCUCGCCGACUUCGACCGCGUCAUGGCAGUCAAUGCGCGGGCCGUGCUCGCGGGCGUCAAGCACGCCGCGCGCGUCAUGGUCCCCAACCGCCGCGGGAGCAUCAUCUGCACGGCCAGCACGGCGGCGGUGCUGGGAGGCGUGGCGUUCCCGGCGUACAGCGUGUCGAAGGCGGCCGUGGUGGGGCUCGUGCGCGCCGUGGCCGGGGAGAUGGCGCGCGCCGGGGUGCGCGUGAACGCCAUCUCGCCUAACUACAUCCCGACGCCGAUGGUCAUGGGGUACAUGGCCGAGUCCUACCCCGGGGCGAGCGCCGAGGAGCGCAGGCGGAUCGUGGAGCGGGACAUGAACGAGAUGGGCGGGCCGGCGCUCGCGGUGGAGGACGUGGCCCGUGCGGCGGUGUACCUGGCGUCCGACGAGGCCGGGUACGUGAACGGGCAUAACCUCGUCGUUGACGGCGGGUUCACCGUCGGCAAGACGCCGAAAAUGCCGGCGCCGUGACGUUGACAGGUCUUGAUGCGAUGAAGUGUUUUGCCUUGGACCAACCGGACAUGACUGCAGAAGGGUGAUGACGCUGACAAGCUUCGCUCAGGUGCCGAGAUGAUCAGGGCCAGCACAAUGCAGCUGAUGAGACUUUGCGGGACUACUGCCCAGUCGAUUGGAGGAGCGUGAAGAUCGUGAUGGAUGUACACUGUUUUGAGGGCGGACGAAGUGGAGUGUUCUGCUGGGAGGGCCAUCUUCCUCAUAGUAGCUUUCCUCUUUUGAUUGAUGAUAUAUUUUGGUGUGUUGGCAUGUAUCUCUCUCUGGGUGUCGUGGAACAUAGUACUCAGAUAGAUGUAGGUGUUAUCAGGUUUUCGCCCCACAGCGUUCGGGUCGACGGCGACCGAAUGACAGUGGGUUUCCUGGUAAUACUUGAACCCGCCUUACCUCUUUCCCCCUCUCUCUGACUCUGUAUUCGGAACUGGUUGUAUUUCCGUUGUUUGCAAUGGAAAGGGGUAACGCCCGAUUCAAAAAAAUAUA